AUGCGAGGGGAGGGCGCAUCCAAGACGAGAGCUGUGGAUGAAAGGCUUCCCCUCCCCCGCAGGGCAGAAAGACUCUCUGUUUCAAGGCUAAGAAAUUUGAAUUUCAUGCCCAAAUGUGUGUGGGGGCGAUGCUCCCAUCUACAUUCAAGAUGCAGUUAUCACCACCACCACGGCCAUCAUCAUCAUCAUCACCUAACCUGGUUUCUGUUAUCUGCAAGUAAACUGUCACUGAAACCUGUUUAUAACAGUAACUUCUGUUACUGUUACUUUUUAAUCGUAUUUCAGCAUAUCUUAGAUCACAUUACUUGGAAGCAAGGGGAGGGAAGACUGACCAGAGAAAAGUUAAAGGAUCAAAUAGCCAGUUGUAUUUUUAAACAAUGUAAUUAUUUUGAAAAACAAUCAAGAGUUAAUGAAAGAACAUGUGGUCUUAAAUUUAUUUUGAUCUUCCUGCCCCCUCCCUUUAUUCGCCAGGUGUUCGGUGUACUUUAGAUGUAAAAGUCAGGGCUGGUUUUCUCCUAAUUUUAUCAGAUCAAACCUGAAUCACACUGAUUUUUUUUUUUUUUUUUUGCUUUCUAUUUUUAACAUAAAAAUUUUUGGUUACAUAUGAAACGAUUUACAAAUAAAUUGAAUCCCAUCUUCUUAGCA
rnacentral:lncRNA from 1 species